rnacentral:tRNA from 1 species
GAUAGCCGCUGGAUAGCGCAUCCCGCCCCUAAGGCGGGAAGGUCAUUGGUUCGAAUCCAAUCCGGGUCA